ACACCCAUUUGCCUUACAUUUAAAACACCAAGAAUCACAUGAAAUCCAGUGAAUAAGUUAGAGAUCCAAUAAAAUCAGAUCUAAAGAUAAAUCAAAGGUGACAAUAAGAAGAUGAUUGGCAACCCAUGAUCAGCUUACAAGAAAUAGAGAUCAAACCCCCCACCAUAACUCAACCUGAAAUCUCUGGAGCCCUGUGAAUCCUCCUAAACAAGGAAACAUUGCCAUUGUUAAGCUGUGCUACAUUUCCAGCCAAGCACAGCAUCAUCUCAACAUAAGCAUCUCUAAGCCUUUCCAAGAUCUUCAUGGGCGAUAUGAUCCUGAAAUGUCGAAGUUUUGGCAUCAUCUUCAUCUUCCAUGGCCUUCCACCACCCCCAUGAAACCUUAAGACCUUCACUCUCUUCUUGGCAGUCACCACAUGCUUUAGCCGCUGGUAUCGUCUUCUCUUCCUGUACAUCUUCAGGCUCCCGGAAAACUGAGUAGUGAGUGAGUCCAUGGAGUCAAGAGAGGAGGAAGAGAGGGAGAUGAGGAAUGAAGAAUACAGGUGAGGGAGGCUUAAAUUGGAUGGACUAAAGUCAGCAUGCAGCUAUUAAAUGGGCAUUAUAAGUAGUCACCAAUAACCUGCCAACGGUUUCCUGAACGUGGAGUUAGGUUCUUAAUGUAACUCAUUAAUUUUGGCCCCCCUUUUUUUUUGCUUUGCAGUCAAAUUCAACCACAUCAAUAAGAACCUAGCGUAUAUAAUGGGGAAAUGAACAAGGGAAGAAGUUCAUCAAACUUGGGAUCUAAUUACCAUGCUAGAAUGAUAAUUUUUCUGAGUGUCAAAAAUUAAGCUUAUCAUCAGGCCAUAGGUGCUACAUCUGGUACAGAAAUUUCACUCUAACUAAACCUCAUGCCUCCUAAGAAAAAUUGAAUGAUUCAUCAACUGAAUGCCCAUUUUGGAACCCUGUUGAAACUGUAAUUCAAGGCUUCAAUCUGCAAUUCUGCAUACAUAUAUUAAGAUUUGUUAACUCCUAACCUGUCACAGACUAAGGUUUAUGCAAGGCAAUAGUCAGAGACCAGAUGAUAAAUCAGCAAUUUCUUGGUAAAUUUUCUUAUUCAAGUUCGCCCAAGGGCCCAAAACUCAUGCAUUUAGCCAGGUAGGUGACUCAAUGCAGCUGAACCUUUCAACCCUUUACCAAACCAGCACAACCCAAACCAGAUUUCUAACUUUCUGUAUUACAUUCCAGGCAAUGAUUACAACAUAAACAUGUUCGGUUGAUUGGGUAAAUUUACAUGGAAGUCAAUCCUAAAUCACCAAAUGAGUUGCCUCGCUAGUAAUAUAUUGCCAGAGUUUACUGGAAGGCAGCAUUCAAAUGAAUUGUUCUAUAUUAACCAGAAAGUUUUCCUGGAGUGGGAAAACUGAAGAAUCCGGGCAGGAUGUUUUCGUGACCAACCUGAAUGCACUCAAGUAUAACCUAUAAAAUUGUUUCCAUUCAACACACCACUCAGAAAUCAAAAUCUCCUCCCAUUUUCCAUUGCAUCAAGAAUCGGGCUUGUAGAAUGACAAUCGUUUCCUGUGCUUUCUCUGCUAAAUCCAGGUUGCAUAUAUGCGGCCUCAAUCUCUGGCUGCCUUAAUCUAAGAGAGGGAAUUCUUGUGGAUGAGGACUGAACAUGGUUCCCCUCUGCCAAAACUUGAAAAUAGGCAUGUGGUGCCCAACCUGCGGGCGCAAAAAUGGGAAGAGUGCAAAGAGUGAAAAAAAAAUAAAACUCCCAAAACAAGGAUAUCAAGACUGAUGAAAGAAAAGCAUGCCAUCAGUUGGGAUUUGAAGCAUAUAAGUCCUUGCAUUCAGGUAAGCUUUGAACUUUGUGGACUGAAAAUAAUUAGUUAACUAGCAAAUAGACGUAUCAUACUGUUGAGUGAGAUAAGAAAAAUGCAAAGCAACUUGGUGUCUUACCUUGGCUAUAAUUGUCCUCAGAAAAUGGACUUAACAGACAGGGUUCUAAAACAGAGAUGGGAUUAAUGGUUGGCAGGAACUGAAACAGAAUUUCAACCAAAACUAUAGAUCCUAUGGGUUCAUUGGUCAAACAAUUUGAAUUUCCGGCCAACUUGAUGGUCCACUGCAAUAAAAGUAAAUUUCCGGCCAACCACUGAAAAAUACAUUUACUUGCUUUGGACAAUUAAGUAAAGGAUGAAAAGAAGAAGAAAUAAAAUAAAUAAAUAAAUUACUAGACCCAUUUAUCCAUUGGAUGAAGAGUGGCUGAAUUGAUUUAGACAUGUUGAUCCAUAAACAAAAAUUAUUUUGCAAGACAAAUAUUCCAUGAAUAAAUUUUGAGGGAUACUCAUUUAUCAAACUAUAUCAGAAAAGGGAAAACAUAUACCCUAAAGCACAGUAUGCAAAUGCCACCAUCUUAAAGGAAAGAACGACUCAUUUUGGAUUCAGGGGAUCUUGAUUUGAUUCUAGCCUAGCAUACAAAUUUCUUGUAUAACUUCUAUAACAUUAUGGAUCAGGUAAGAUAAAAUUUGCUCAAAAAUUAAACAUACUUUUAAGGUUCCUAGCAGCCUCAUGAGUUAAAAGAAAUGUUCCAAGAGAAAUUUAUGUUGAUUAUAGUAGAGUAAGCUGGUCAAAAAUAAACAGACAUACCAUCCUUAACAUGUGGGAAAGGAAAGCAUUGCAGGUAGCAAAAUGAAGCUACAGUCAUUCCUGCAUCAAUGCAACAUGUCCAAUCAAUCAUGUUAAUCUCAUUUCCAGGUGGGACUUGGCAUUGUUUUGCACUUAGAAUAUAAAGCCAUAACAUAUAGCAUUCAUCUGAUUAAUAAGGAAUUGACCCGUAAUAAUUCAUUUAUGGAGUACAUACCUAUGAGACCUCCAACAAAAACAUCCUGCCAAUGAUGCCAAUAGUCAUCCACACGAGAAACUCCAACAAGAGCUGCCAUAAGCAAUGGAAGCAAUACAAUAGCGAGUUUUGCUAUAUGGCCCUUGCGAUCAAAUGCUCUAAUUUUCCCUGAUAAAUACCAAGAGAGGAAACUCAGACCUGCAAAGCACCCUGCAUAUGGAUAGCCACAGUCCAAGUAAGCUCAUACUCUGACAAUGACUAAUCAAAAGCCAAUACAUAACACCCUCUCCAGCUGUUGAAAACACCUUUAAGACCAGUGUUUUGAACAUGAUGAUGAAAUCAAUUCUAGAUGUAAUGAUUUAAAGCUUGUCAUAGUGGGAUAAGAAAUAUGCCCAACACUCUCCAAGUAAAUGAUGCCAUGCUCAAUCAACCAUCUGAUAAGCAUAGUCAUGUUAUCCGAUCAUCUGUGGUAGAUGUUCUACUUACAUGAAGUAUGCCCACUAGGGAAACUUUUGUGUCCUUCCUUUAUAACACCCUUGUCUCCAUGACAGAUGACAUUCUUUGUUAGAGGAUCAAACAACUGCACACAUGCGAGCAGCAGCAGGCAAGAUCUUAGCAAGCAAAAAUUGAUAGAGAGAAAAGAAGGUUUUGUGUAGGGAAUUAAAUAUUGAAAAUGAAUUAAAUUGAGAACACACUGCAGCUCCAUUGGGGAAACACCGCCAGAAGAAGUUCGGUCGUGGUCGACCAACAGCAUCUUUAAUUGCAUCCGUUAUAACUCCAGUUAUUAGAACAGAAUAGAGGAGGCCUGAUAUCCCAUAGGUGGUAUUAUCAGUAUAAAAUCAUGAGCUAUAAACAACACCAUCUGCUUUACCAAAACCCGAAAAGGACAGAAAAAAUACCUAAUGUUGCAUGGUGUAGAUCGUAAACAUUCCUUCUGUAAAAGUAAUUUGCAAGAAUAGCUGCAAAAGGCAACAAUAUUGCAAUAAUCUGUUGUGGGAAAUCCCCAAAAAAAGAAGGAAAAGAAAAAUCAGCUCCUUUUUUCUCAUUGAAGAGAAAUCAAUAUAAUUAGUAGGCAUCAGAGUGUUCAAUUAAGCUAGUAAAUGCAUAAUGAUUGGAACUGAAUACAUACUGGAACAGCCCAAACAGGUACAGUAUUGUCUUUCAUUGGGUAUUUCAGAUCUAUCAUCAUCUCUUCCCCAACAAAGCGAUGAAAGGGCUCAAUGAGAUUUAAAAUAACAUCUAUAACAAUAAGAAGUAUCAGAAUCAGCCAGUCAUGCAUAUGUAUCCUUGCCACCUUGGCUCCAUGAGAUUUUAUAGUAUGACCUCCCAUCUGAUUCUCUUGCAUUUGAACCACCUAGACUACAAAAGAUAAAUGUUCAAUCACUGAAACCGAUUUUUCAAAAGUGAAAGUUUUCUUUUCUUACCAAUUAAAAAGAACAACAAGAACAAUAAAUGAUAAUGGCACUAACUUCUCAACCUUUUUUCAAUAAUAAGCAUGAAAAUUUAAAGCUAUUGCAGAUAAAAAAAAAAAAAUGAUAAAAUAAAAUUCACAUCUCCAACAAGAGACAUCUGACCCAUGAUUAGGAAACCCUUGAGAUUCUAUUACAAUUUUGCUGUUUAGCUUCCCGGUUCUUAAAAUAUUUUAAGGGAAAAAGAACAACUAACGAGCAAUUUCAUUUGAUAUUCCAUCUUGUGUUUGUCUCCCUUUUCCCUCCCUUUCCUCUUCCUUUGAAUAAGUGCAAAGUUUUUCAAAACUAAAUUUAAGAAAUUGAGACGGAUUUUUUUGAACUGCAGAAGCCAUAAAGAAAUAAAGCAAAGGAGACAGAGACGGGAAAAUUCAUGUGAUCCAGUAAUUCAUGGUUGAGGCAUGAGAUUAUAUAAUUUCUCUCUGACAUCACCUCUAUGCACUAGGAACCCAAUGAGACACGACAUAAAAAAUACCGAAAAUACACAGCCUAUAUAUUAUAAUAAAAUUGAUCCCUAAUAGGGCAAAACAAAUUGCUAACAAGAAAUUUAUUGCCACAAAACAUAAGGCAUUCAGACACAAUUUCGAGAAGUAAUUAACAUGAUUCUUCAUUUGCAUCAUUGCAGAAAUCUGGGAUUGCUUUCAUAAGUCUAAGUACUGGCAUAGAAUCUAUGAACAUUUUUGGGAUAUUGACAAGAUCACCAAUCAUAAAAAAACCCCAUCCAGAAUUGUAACUCUUACAGAAGUCAUGGACACAAUUAUUAACCAAAAACAACGGAUUUCAGAUUUCAAUUUCCAUCUGAAACAAAUACCCCUUCUGGUUCUAAAAAUUGUGAGGGAAAAGAAAAGGAAAAGGAGAAGGAAAGAAAAUCAAAUAGAAGUUGAACCUAGUAGAUUGCAUUUCAUCUCUUUUCCCCAAUUUCCUUUACUCCAUCAUAUAAAAAUUGAAGAAAUCCUAAAUAUACAAAUGCCCAUCAUAGUUUCUUUUUCUCCCCAUUUUUCUCUACAACCAAACAACAAACUUUGGUAUUCUCCCUUUUCUUUUCCUUCCCAUUUUCCAAAGAUUCAAAUAGGGGAACACACAUGUGUACAUGUGUACAUGCAUGCAUACAUACAGGUACAUGCAUGAGCAUCAAGGUUGAAGAAAAUAUAGAAUUCAUCAAUGGGGAAUAACACACUACCAAAUGAGAUUGUCUCAUUUCAUAAACCGUCGAGAAUUUAUUCAGAAAUGCAAUAACAUAUAUAACGAGAAAAGGGUCAUACCAGUUAGAGUGAUUUGAGAAAAGUUUGAAGAUCAAUGCAAAGUGGAGGAGGCUCAGCAAUGGCGGUUCUGUAAUUGGCUUGGGAAGAUUUUUAAAACGUAGGCAUCAGGCGUUAAACCCAGAAUGAGAAGAUUGCAGUUGCAAAACUGAAUAUAAUGUUAAAUGAGUACGAGAAAAUGACAGCUUUCUCUAUGAAAUAACCACCAAAGUCUAGCGGGAUGGCAACACAUUGCAGGCCAAAUGCUUUGUCUUUUGGACUUUUUUCUUUUUUUUUUGGGUCUUGGAAACAUCUUAAACUAUGAAAUUGGGGUUAUGAUUGGACCCACAAAUUUUGGAUUUGAUGUAUGGUUAAGCUUCCAAUUUUUUAUUUAUUUAUAAGGAAUUUUUUUUUUAAGUAAUUUGUGGUAGAUUCCCUUUUUAGAAAAAAAGAAAAUGGUUUAAUAUUUUUAAAAUGUUUAAUCAUGUGAUUUUUAUUUUUAUUUUUAUUUUAUUUUUUUGGUUGGGGUGGCUAUUGAUAAUAUAAUAUUUAGUGUAAUCAUUAUGUUUUGGACCUGAAUUAAUUUAAUUUAAUUUUGGAAGUUUAUAUUUUUAAGAAUUUGUCUCCUUAUUUUUUAUGUAUAUAUUAUUUUGCUAGAAAUUAAUCUUUGCCCAUACAUGAGAAAGCUCUCUAGUAGCAUUUUUAGUUUAAAAAAUGUUUUUGAAGAAAAAAAUUAGAUGUCUGAUAAAAUUUAGGAUUAAUUUAUUAAAAAAUGAUGAAAAGAUCUCAAAUUUAUAAAAUUAACCUCUCAUUUUAAAACUUGAAGAGUAACUCAUUUUUUUUAUAUAAAUAUCCUUUAACAUUUUCAUUAUUUACAUGUAUAUUUUAAAAGUAAAGAUUACUUUUUGUAAGAAAAAUAUAAUGGUAUUUUUGUCUAAAAUUGAUAUUUUUUAGAUUAAAAAAUGCCCAAAAGGCUUAGUUUUCCAAAAUGGGGAUGAUUUGAUGGUUAUUCCUAAAAUUCAAUAAAUACUUUUAAAAUUUUGAAAAAUAACUUAAAAUCAUAAUAAAAAAUAUCAUUUUUUUAGAAAAACACUACAGAUGUCAUUCUCCUAAAAGUAUUUCUAAAUAAAACAUUUUUACUAAAAAUACUUCGAUUAAAAGUAAUUUUUGACAUGCUCUUAAUCUUUUUAAAAAGAAUUUUACCUUAUUUUAAAAGUUUAUUAUAAUUUUAUUUAGAAAUAAAAUAAAAUAAAAUUUAAAUUAUUUUAUCAAACUUCUAAGUUGUGUUAAAAUUUUAUUAAUAAAUAUUUUUUUUUUUAAGUAGUGUGUUCUAAACCAUAGUUGAAUUCUUGCAAGUAUAUAUAUAUGAAUGCAAUAAAUCAUGGCACUUAAAAAUAUUAUAUAGGAAUUUCUCUCCCAAUAUUACUUAUCCACAUAUGUAUUGAAACCAAAAGUCUAGGCCUCGUUUUGUCAUUUAGGGCCUCCAAUCCUGUAAUGAAUCUCCAAUUUGAACAGCAAAUUUCUUUGGGACCUGCCAAAUAAAUAGACAGAUAACCAAUGAAAAUGGAGGCUUCCACUGGAGGGCUCUGUGUAUUAAGGGUCGUGUUGAGUAAGGCUUGUCAAUUAGAGGUGUGCCAAGCAUAUGAAGUCAAUUGGACCAUCUGAGGAGGGUUUCCAUGAUCAGCAAUUAAAUUUAGGGAAUGGAAUGAAAUAAAAAUAAACUGAUGAGUUAAUGAUUGGAUCACCAAUUUGUAGUUUAAAAUGAGAAAUGCUGGACAAAUGAGGUGUGGACCACAUGUGACUAGUAGGCUCCAUUAUGGAGGAUCCAUGCAAAAUACAUAGCUAAAAUCCCUUUCUGAAAUGCCUAACCAUUGAGUAUUAAAGUUAAUAUUAGUAAAUAAUUGAUGAUUUGUUUUUAUUUUUUAUAAUAUUUGCUAUAAAAAUAUUUAAUGUUAUACAUAGUAAAUAAAUAUUACAUUGUAUUAUAUUAUAAAAUAUUUAAUAUUAUCUAUUUCAAUCGAACUCUCAACCUUCAAUGUCUGUAUUAGGGAGGGUUAGAAUUUGGGACGAAAGACCAAAAUAAAGAAUCGGGAAAAGCUCUAUUUGGGGUUUUUUGGGUGAUUGAAUUUAUAAAUUUACCCUUUAUUAUUCAAUCAUAUACAUAACAUGUGACAUUUUUGGUCCAUUGAAAGUAACACCGUCGAAUAAAAUACACUAGAAAAUAAAGUGUAUUAAACACUAUUAUAAAAUAGUAUAUAUUAAAGAGAAAUAAUAUUUGCAUCCAUCCAACUUUUCUUUGUAUUCAUAUGAAUAAUAAUAAAAUUUAAAAUAAAAAUGUUCAUUAAUAAAAUAAUUCAAUUUCUUUUAAGGAGAAAUAUACAUCUAUCUUUCUCUAUUUGACACAUUAAGACCCAACGGUUAUACGGUAUUCGGAUCUGGAGUGUCUGAAAUAUCUGAAAUGUCUAACCUUCCAUGUUCGAACCCCUCCUCAAUGUUCAAUACAUUAUACUUGAACAUUUGCGAGGUGUCCUGUCUUUUUUUUUUUUUUUUUUACUUUUAAAUUAUUUUUAUAACAAGUUUAUUGUCAAAAUUUAUCUAAAUAAUAAACCCUAAAAGAAUUUUCCUCUUCUAAUUUGUUAUUGAGAAGAAAAAAGUCAAGAGAAAAAGGACGUGAAAGAGAAGAACGAGAAGAAAAAAGAACAUUUGCACGCACUGCUCUCCUCUAUUUGCGCUGCAGGGUUCCCUUUUUCUAUCACAGAAAGCUUUGAAAAGUGAGAAUUGGCUUUGUAACCAGCUAGAUGAACACGCACCACCUCAUUGGGAUGGGGAACUUGCAUGUUAGCCCUCUUCACUCUUCGUCUUCACUCCACCUUUAAGUUCUUACCCACUUUUGGAUCUCGUCUAUAAACCAUACCAUUUUGAAAACAACACUCAACACAUUGAACUUAUCACUCAGUCCAACUAUCAAUCGUCUCAUUACGGAUUCGAUUACAUUUUUAAACUAACAAGCAAAGAAAUAUGACUUAUAUUCCCUAUAAUAGAUCGAUACUUAUCAAAAUUUUGAAUGGAAGUAUAUAAUGAAAUUUGUGUCGUUGAAUAAAAAUGCAAGUCUAUAUAAAUAAGAUACAAACAAAUGCGAUAAAAGAAGUAGAUAGUAAAAUUCACGUGUUAAGACUUAAUAUAAAGUAUAAGACUUGAAUUAUAUAUAUAACAUCAUCUAAUUUGUUAAAUACAUUUCACUAAUGUAAUCCCUCCUAUUGAAAUAUCGUAUGAUUUGUUAAUUGUUGACCAUUGAAGGAGAUUUUGAACGUGAAUCAUGAAUCUAGUUGUUGGGUGCUAAAAGGCCCAAACGUGGAUCCAUUGAAGUCUGUCUUUACUUGGUAUGUAAUUAACGAGCCUCGCUUAAGGUUGUCCUUCAAGUUGAAGAAAUAAUGAUAAGAAAGUAGUAAAGAAGACCAACCCCAUUGCAAACCUUUUUCUCUAUCUUCCUCCCCAAAAGGCUCCGAUUCAACUCAUUAGAACCCGCUACCAAUGGAUCCAUCACCACCGCCUCUUCCUCCCCAUCCCAUCACCACUAUGCAGCUCAACUAUCCCGAAUCCGCAGACUCUUCUCCCAGGAAGGCGGAUACCUGGGAAGAGCCUCUCCCGCCGGUCCCAGGUGCCAGACUCCGUCUUAUGUGCAGCUUCGGCGGCCACAUUAUCCCCCGCCCACAUGACAAGACUCUCUGCUAUAUGGGCGGUGAGACCCGCAUGAUCGUGGUCGACCGCAGCUCUUCCUUGGCUGACCUUUCCUCUCGCAUCUCCCGGACUCUACUCAAUGGCCGCGGUUUUACCCUCAAGUACCAACUCCCCAAUGAGGACCUGGACAAUCUCAUUUCAGUCACGACCAAUGAAGAUCUUGAUAACAUGAUAGAAGAGUAUGAUAGAAUCACGUCAGCUUCCCCUUUGAAAUCCUCUCGCCUCCGGCUAUUUAUCUUCCUUGCGAAGCCUGAAACUGCCGCUUCUAUGGGGUCUCUACUUGAUGAUGCCAAGUCUGAGACUUGGUUUGUUGAUGCACUCAAUGGCGCUGGGCUGCUUCCCAGAGGACUUUCUGAUUCUGCGGCCAUUGAUUGCUUUCUUGAUAGAGAUGCUAGUGGCGAUUCUUGUACACAUGUGGAGGCGCAAACCGACUCUUUAUGCAACACCAAGCAUGGGAAGAGUGGGCAGGAGGUGCACUCGGUGCCUAGCUCACCUAUGGUAGAGACUGCUUCGUCCUUUGGCUCAUCUUCAUCUUCGCCCUCCAUGGCCAACCUGCCGCCUAUUCGGGUGCGGGCUGAGGACGGUGGGCUUAGACUGCAUGAUCACAAGGUUGGUUUGGAGGAGGAGUUUGCAUAUAUGAGUACUAAUCCUCAGACUGUGGUGCAGAAACAAGAUGAGGGGUUUGUUGUGUUGUCUGCUCCGCCCCCACUUCCCAGUUCUGCUAUUGUUGGUGGAACUGCGGCUGCAGCUGCUGCAGAAUCUGGUGAGAACCAGAGCCGAGGUUUCUCCGAUGAUGAGAGAUCCGAUCAAGGGGUGAGGAUUCGCUUCAGAAAACCUCCAUUGCCACUGCAGCCAGUGCAACGAAGGCUCGAUGAUGGUUUCAAUUUGCCUUCCCCAGAUUCGAAACAUGGUGGGGGAUUAAAUUUUCCAUCCCCAGAUUCAGUAGCAAGGUACCCUCAACUU
rnacentral:lncRNA from 1 species